AAUGCAUUCAUUUUCUGCAGUUGAAGGGACGAUCCCGGAUCUGAAAGAAAGAGCCACAGUGACUCCAAGAGUGGAGCCAGGGCAUGCUGGACACUGCAUAGCUAUGGCCACGUGUGUCACCUCCGAGGGAGAUGUGAGAGAAACACAGAGGGAUCGCUUGUGACUGUGCCUUCUCGAUGUAUGAUGGACUGUUCUGCUCAAAUAACAGCAGUAGGGCUGAUUGGAGCCAUUGUACAGUGUCAGGAACAUACCAGCACACUGAGAAUAGCAUCAUGUCAUAAGGACCCAGAGCAGGUGGACCCUGCUGUGAUGCACAAAGAGGACCAUGCAAGAUAUGAUAAAGAUCUAUGUCACUGAAUUUUGGUUCUGUAUUUGUAUCUCAGCUUCCCGGAAAUAAAAAAGAAUUCUAACAUUCAUACUUUCAGUAUUUUAUGUGACAGGUUUUGUUGUCAAAAUCAAGUCUGAGAGCAAUGUUUAUUGGGGCCUUUAAUUGGAGUCACCAAGCGAUAAAG
rnacentral:lncRNA from 1 species